rnacentral:lncRNA from 1 species
CCCAGAACAGUAAAAUAGUUAGUCAAAAAAACUUUAUUAGAUAAGGUGUAAAAAUAAAAUCCAACUGCAUUUACGCAAUGCGUUUCACCUAAACAAGGCUUUAUUAAUACAUUUUGUAAAAAACAUUCCCUAUUUACCUCCUUAUUCUUAGAAUAGUGAGGGGCCUCCUCCUCAUCUCCUGUAAAAAAAAUCCUACUUGCCUUCAGAAGUCGUCUUUCUCCUCAAGUCUACUUUUCUUCAGCCUUAAAAAAAGGCUAUAUAAAAAAACAUAAUAACCCAAAGCUAUCAUUAAAAAAAAGAAAGAAACAAAAAAUAAAUAAAAAUGAAAAACAUGCCACAAACCAGAAUUAAUAAAAGUGAGCCCAGUGAGGGAUCUCUGCAAACUGAGCUUUCAAGGUGGGAAAAGUCUUUAAGGUCUUCACGUACUUUGAAAUCUUCAGAGGUCUCUGACAGCCACGUCUUGUCUCUCACGAGAUUUGUGUAGCAAUGUUUCUAAAUGCUGGGUUGCCCAUUGUAAACCCACAUAGGUUAAUGUUUGUGCAUUUUGAUUCAUCCUAAUAGUUUUUCUCGGAAAAACAAUCACAUGGCCGAAAUUUGCUAAAACGAAAAGGUCAAAUGGACGAAAUUUAGUUCAUCCAAACCAAACAAUUUUCAGUUAAGCUGAUUUGGAUGAUACAAAUUAUUUGCUGUGCAUUAGUCUACUUUAAGUUCGUAUUGAAUAAACUGUAUAAAGGCACCAUACCCGGAAGCUUUUUAUAUUUGCACUGAAUAGACAGUAUAUAUGUGGACACUUUAUAUAUGUAUCUCUCACUAUGAAUUUAUAUUAGUCUCAUUUCUUUCUCACAUGAUGUAUUCCUUUACAUUACACCUAUCCAGAGGCGUAACUAGAAACCACUGGGCCCUGGUGCGAAAAUUGCCC